rnacentral:snRNA from 1 species
AUUCCUGCGCAGGCAGUAUCAUAGUCUAUGAAGUUCUACUGAGACGUGAUUAUUGCUAGUUGAAAACUUUACCCAAUACCCCGCCUGGUUGAUUUGCAAUAUAAUCAGCUGUGGCAAUUUUUGAUGGUCUCCUUAGAGA